ACAUACAUUAAUUAAUUUUUGUGCACAAUCGCAAGUGUUUUACCGCCAAGAGAACGCCACUAAGCGAGUUUUUCGUUGAUAGCUCAUAUCGUUACGACAAACUAGUGGAAAGAGACUUCUCGUUGAUAGUUUCGUUGUUCUCGUUGGCAGAGUUGAUAGUUCUCUGCCAACGAGCACAAUCAUCUAUUAAUAUAUUUAUCUUUUGUAAUGACACGGAAUCAUACAUCGAUCGUACGUUUCUGAGCGAAAAAAUAGUCUAUAGCUAGUCGCUUCCUCGUCGGCGGUGGGACAAGUGGCAAAGUUUU